GCGCCCAUAGCUCAGCUGGAUAGAGUCGCUCACUACGAAUGAGAAGGUCGGGGGUUCGAAUCCCUCUGGGCGCACCA
rnacentral:tRNA from 1 species